UCCCGAUUAGCUCAGUUGGUUAGAGCGUGGUGCUAAUAAACAUCUUCAUUGAUGCUUUAUAUACGCCAAGGUCAGCGGUUCGACCCCGCUAUUGGGAA
rfam:Glarea lozoyensis 74030 unplaced genomic scaffold M7I_scaffold4, whole genome shotgun sequence.